ACUAGAGUAGCACUCGCAUAUCAAUAAGCGGAGGAAAAGAAACUAACAAGGAUUCCCCUAGUAACGGCGAGUGAAGCGGGAAGAGGCUCAAAUUUGAAAUCUUAAAGGGUUUCCCUUUACGAAUUGUAGUUUAAAGAAGUGUUUUCUGUUGAGGUUUUGGUAAAAGUUCUUUGGAAUAGGACAUCAUAGAGGGUGAGAAUCCCGUAUUUGACCUUUACUUUCAACUUUGUGAUACACUUUCAAAGAGUCGGAUUGUUUGGGAAUGCAGUCCAAAAUGGGUGGUAAAUUUCAUCUAAAGCUAAAUAUUGGCGAGAGACCGAUAGCGAACAAGUACCGUGAGGGAAAGAUGAAAAGAACUUUGAAAAGAGAGUUAAACAGUACGUGAAAUUGUCAAAAGGGAAGCGUUUGACACCAGUGUUGUUUUUCUGAAAAUCAAUUAAAGAACUGUUUAUGCUAAGUUGUUUAGACUUUAUCAGCUAACUGUUUAGUUUUGAGCUUUUCUUUAAUGCACUUUUCAGUUAACAAGUCAACAUCAAUUUCUUUUGCUGUAAAAAAGCUUGAGGAAGGUGGCUUGAGAUUCGUCUUAAGUGUUUAUAGCCUCUUGCCUAUGCAGUCGGAGAGAUUGAGGUCUGCAGCGUAGAUCCUUCGGGGCUAAAUGCAUUUGUGCUAAGUUAUAGCAUUUUAUAGACAACUUGUUGACUAUGAUUUGUCUUGUAGCUUACUCGCUUAUGUUAUUUUACCUACGCUUAGGAUGUUGAGCGCAUGUCUCUCUCU
rnacentral:rRNA from 1 species